AGUGCACAAACCCAGCCAAGCUCCCGCGUACCUACAAAGAGCACCAGGGCUCUGGUUUUCGGUGCUCUGUGGCACUAUCAGGUUGUUGUGCCUUCAGGAGGAUACAGAGCAGCACAGUCACUGUCCUGCCCCCAGCAGGGAUGAGACAGGACACCAGCAGCUACCACGGCAGCUCUUUGUGAAGCAUCUUUAUGUGCCAGCAGUGUCCCUGGACUCACCACCACAGCACCACUUGGUCAGGAAAAGGCAGGACAGAACCCCAGCACACAAAGGUGAAGCUUUGAACAGGUGAGGAGUUACAGCUCUGUACACACCAUCUGACUUUGCUUUGGAAGUCGAUGGCUUAGGAAGUCUUUACAAACCAGUGCCUGAAAACGUAAUGGUCCACGUUGCAGCAGUUCCUAAGUGCAACAAGAGGGUCUGCACAGCAAAACCUGUCUAAGGCCUGGUUUAUGAUUAAGUCUAAAGUUCUGGUGGGGGGGGGGGGAAAGAGUAAAAUAGAGUUCUUUCUUUGUCUAACAGCUCCUGCAGCCAUUUCACAGCUGCCCAGGGCUUAAACACAGCCCUGCUUGUUGUGAAGGAAACAGCGUUUGCACUCGGCCUCCAACAGGGAUCUGUGCUCCCACAGGCACCGUUGCAGUUGUGUUUGCUGCAGAAUGAAGCAUCUUCAGCAUCUUCUCACAGCCUGUUCCAAGCAGCUUACCAGCUCCCAGUAAGUAAAAAGCAACAGGUUAAAUCCCAGCUCUCAGAAAAAGUGCACCCAACGCUAUACUGAGUCGUCCCCUGUAAUUCUUUAUUAGAAUCAUGGAUGAAAAUCUUUUAAAUCAAUCUAAAAAAAAAAAAUAAUAAUAAUAUUGGAUCAA